AAGAAAGUGGCAGAUUAGACAUAAUGCAUGUUUAAUUAAUAUGCAUGAAAUAUAAUGGCUUAUACUUUAAAUAAAUCCGCAUGCAGUAGUAUGGCGUGUAUAUUAAAUGUGUAGCUCGCUUUAUACUGUAAUGUACAUUCAAUAGAACGACCUAUACGUUAAAUGCAUGUACAUGCAAUGGUAUGGCCUUUACAUUGAAUUAAUGUGCAUGCAUAACGUGUUUAACUUAUACUUAAAAUGAAUAUGAUUGCAAAACGAUGGCUUUAAGUUCAAAUGCAUAGACACGCACUAGUAUAGCUUAUAUAUAAAUAAUAUGAAUGAAAUAGUUUGCUUUUACGUUAAAUGAGUAGCAUGCACUAUUAUGCCUUAUACUUAAAAUGCAUUUGUAAGCAAUAGCAUGACUUAUAUUUAAAAUGCAUGUGCAUGUAUUGUUGUUUUGUAGAUACGAAACGUAUUCUUUUAGUGAUAAUUUCAGGUUGAACUGUAUGGAUAUUUGAUAUCACAGGCCUCCAGUGUUUUCAUCUUGUCGCAAUACAACGCACAAUGUGCGGAAAUAAAGAGGAAGUUACGAGAAAAUUAUUUAAAUGAUGAAUAUGUGAGCACAGUGGUUUCAAGUCAAGGUGGAGAGUGGGAUUACGUGAUCUUCAGUACUGUACGAUCUCUGCCUGAAUACAAAAUUGAGAAGAACCCCACCUUGGGCUGGUGCAAAUACAAUCUGGGUUUUAUCACCGACCAGAACCAGGUCAACGUAGCCAUUACAAGAGCCAGGAAGGGUCUCGUCAUCGUUGGAAACAAGCAUCUUCUACGGUGUGACAGGACUUGGAAUACAAUCCUUGAAGACUAUGAACAUUACGGCUGCAUUAAAACUCCGCAGGAAUUCCCGCCACCAAACAAGCGGUUGCCAAGACGGGAAAUAAUGGCCCGUGAGCAAGCGCACAAUUACAGAAGACAUGGCGAGACCAUUUAUGAACGCGGGCAGGCCACCUCAUACGAUGGACCAAUCGAUGAAACACCAACAUCGCGAUUUCGAAAUCGCGGCGGUGUUUUUGCGAGACCAGGCUACCGUAAUUGAUCAUUUUAACAUGGGAGCUGGUACCUGAAGAAAGUUGUGGCAUUGACAAGUGUUUUCUGAGGUUGUUUGCAUUUUCACAUAUUUAUUUUAAGUUGCUUAUAAUAUGCAGAGUGUGAGUAACGUAUUUGUUUAUCCGUCUUCGUCUUUUAUUAUUUGUGUGUUGUUGUGUCACACGAUGCAUAACCAUGAUAUUUCAAGCUCUCAGUUUUGAUAAAUUGUUUGAGUAAUUCGCUCUACAUACGAUUUGCGUUGAAUCUGCCGAACAAGUAUAGGUUACAGUAUACUAAAAAAUCGUGUCUUGUAGGGCUGUACUCUCUAAAAAAAAUAGCAUAGUUGACUCGAAGGCAUGUUUUACACGUUUAACUAUUGUUCUGUUUUUUUUUUCUUUUGGCGAUAGUGGUAGGGUAUAAAUAGGUUUUCACUAAAUAUCCCUGAAAUAUGAUGAUUUUAGACACUGUAGUAAAACAUUGCAUUGAAAAAGGUUACAUUCCGCUCGAAUACGGCCGGAAAAAAUGUUGCAAAAACAGUUGAUGUUGAUUUGUGUCAAGUUUUUCCUUGGUUUGUACAUGACAUAUCUUUUUUAUUGAAUAAAUCGAUUCCGCUUAGAAUGGCCUUAAAGAAAAGGUAAGGUUAUGGGGGUCUCGUUGUGCAAAAUGUUGCAUUUAUUUGUGCUUAAAGUUGUCGCUUUUACAAUGAAUUACAAAGGGAAACUAUUUAGUAUAUUAUGACCACAAUAAGGUACUAACAUUUCAAUAUUGUCAGGUGACAAUGGAUAAUUAAUAAUUGUCAAAUGUUUAUUUGUGUUGUUUUAUUUAUAUUGUAUUUGGUAUACGACUGUACGUGGUAUGUAAGUGUACGCGUUGAUGAGUUGUUUUUAUGAAUAUUUGUCAUGGUAUUUCUUUUUAUAAUAUUGUUAACAAUUACACAUACUAAUUGAAAUUGUCUGAAAAUGAUAUUAAUUAGUUCAUUGCAUUUUAUAACAUAUCAAAUCUAAAUUAUUUUAAACAGUAUUAUCUGACGUUUUGUUAUUAAUAGUUGAAUUUAAAUAGUUUUACGCGACCAAUUGUGGUAUACUAGUACUUGAAAUUAA